ACCAGGAGACUCUCUGUUCAUCUCUGGGGUGCUGUCUCUGGGCAGCUUUCUUCUCUCUGAAUUAAGAAAAAGAGAGAGCAAGAACGUUAUGCUGAAGAGCAGAGGAUCGUAAGAAUGAACUUUCAUGAAGAUCCGUAUUCAGGAGAGAAGAUGAGUGAGAUAUUAGCCCAGUUACAACUUGAAGAAAUAAAAGGAGCCAGAGAAAAACAACAGAGAGAAAAAGAAUACCUGAGAUAUGUAGAAGCUUUACGAGCCCAAAUCCAGGAGAAAAUGCAGCUGUAUAAUAUUACUUUACCUCCACUAUGCUGUUGUGGUCCUGAUUUUUGGGAUGCUCAUCCUGAUACCUGUGCCAACAACUGUAUUUUCUAUAAAAACCACAGAGCAUAUACUCGGGCACUACAUUCAUUCAUCAAUUCCUGUGAUGUCCCUGGGGGUAAUUCAACUCUUCGAGUCGCAAUUCAUAAUUUUGCUUCUGCACACAGGCGGACUUUGAAAAAUCUAUAGUAAGAAUCUGAAAUUAACUGGUAGUAUUUUGGCUUUUACUUAAAAUCAGCCCUGAGAGAGUAUUUAAGAAAAGCUGUUCAAGUUAUAAAAUAUAUAAUCUGGAAAGAAAUACUGUCUCAUAUAAUAACUGUCUUUAUAAUUAGAUUGUAAUCAUUGUUUUAAUCUCUGCCUUGGAACCAAGAUUGAAAACUGACUUCUCUUCUUUCUUGUGAACCAUGUGGAGCCUGUUAUUUUAAAACAUGAUCAGACAAGUAAGGC
rnacentral:sRNA from 1 species